rnacentral:misc_RNA from 1 species
AACUUUCGAAAACGGAUCACUUGGCUCUCGCAUCGAUGAAGAACGCAGCGAAUUGCGAUAAGUAAUGUGAAUUGCAGAUUUUCAGUGAAUCAUCGAAUCUUUGAACGCACCUUGCGCUCCUUGGUAUUCCGAGGAGCAUGCCUGUUUGAGUGUCAUUUAAUUCUCAACCAUCCCUCGAUUCGUUUCGAGGGUUUGGCUUGGAUUUUGGGGGCUGUCGGGCGACCCUAGGGUCUUCGGCUCUCCUUAAAAGCAUUAGCGAUGGCGGCGCGAUCUAACCCCCAUGCAUGAACGGCCUUCGACGUGAUAAUGAUCGUCGUGGCUGGAGUGUUUAGUGGGUGUCGUGAAGUCGGCGCUUCUAAAGACCUUUGUCGAAAGACGAAAACUCGAAACCUGACCUCAAAUCAGGUAGGACUACCCGCUGAACUUAAGCAUAUCAAUAAGCGGAGGCU